rnacentral:siRNA from 1 species
CUCCCAAACCCUAACGAUUCUGCU